CCCUUAGAUGUUCUGGGCCGCACGCGCGCUACACUGACGAAUGCAACGAGCUUAUAACCUUGGCCGAAAGGUCUGGGUAAUCUCCAAAUUUCGUCGUGAUGGGGAUAGAUUAUUGCAAUUAUUAAUCUUCAGCGAGGAAUGCCUAGUAAGCGCAAGUCAUCAGCUUGCGUUGAUUACGUCCCUGCCCUUUGUACACACCGCCCGUCGCUCCUACCGAUUGAAUGGUCCGGUGAAGCGUUCGGACCGUGGCCUUUGGACGGUUCGCCGUCUGUUGGCUGCGGGAAGUUCGUUAAACCUUAUCAUUUAGAGGAAGGAGAANUCGUAACA
rnacentral:rRNA from 1 species